rnacentral:rRNA from 1 species
AAAUAAAUUUAUUAUUAUUAAUAUAAAUUUAUAAAUUUUUAAAUAAAAAAAUAUUAUUUUUAUUAUAAUUUUAGAAAAAAUAAUAAAUAAUUAUAGUGUAAAGUAUUGAAAAAGAAUUAAUUUUAUUUUUAAAAAGAAAAAUUUAAAUUUUGUACCUUUUGCAUCAGGGUUAAUUAAAAAUAAAUUAAAUAUUUAAUAUUCUCGAAUUUAAAAGAGCUAAUUAAUUAUAAAUUUUAUUGUGUCAUAAAUAUUUAUAAUAAUUAAUUAGAAAUGAAACGUUAUUCGUUUUUAAAUAUAUCUAGUUUUCAAAUAAAUAAAUUUAAUUUAUUUAUUAAUAAUUAAAAUUUUAAUUUUUUAAUUUUUUAUUUAUUAAUAAGAAAUUUUUUUAGGGAUAAGCUUAAAAAAAAAAUAUUAUAAUAAAAUUAAAUUAUAAAAUAAAUUAUAGGAUUAAAAAUUUCUAUAAAUAAAAAAUUGUUAUAAAUAAUUAUUUUUUAUAUAUUAUUUAUAUUUUGUUUAAUUUUUUUAUUUGAAUAAAAUUUAUAAUAAAAAAAAAUUAGUAAUAAUGAUUAAAUUAGUAUAAAUUUUAUUUUAAAAUUAAUUAAAAAAUUAAGGUUAAAUUAAGGAAUUCGGCAAAUUAAUUUUUCACCUGUUUAAUAAAAACAUGUCCUUUUGAUUAUAAUUUAAGGUCUAAUCUGCCCAAUGAUAAUUUAAAUGGCCGCGGUAUUUUGACCGUGCAAAGGUAGCAUAAUAAUUAGUUUCUUAAUUAGAAGCUGGAAUGAAAGAUUGAAUGAGAAAAUAACUGUCUCAAUUUAAUUUAUUUAGAAUUUUAUUUUUAAGUUAAAAAGCUUAAAUGUAAUUAAAAGACGAGAAGACCCUAUAGAGUUUAAUUUUAUUUUUAAAUAAUUUUUUAUUGAUUAAAAUAAUUUUAUUUGAAAAUAAAAUUUUGUUGGGGUGACAAAAAAAUUAAUUUAACUUUUUUUAAAUUUUUACAUUAAUUUAUGAAUAUAUGAUCCAAAAAUUUUGAUUAAAAGAUUAAAUUACCUUAGGGAUAACAGCGUAAUUUUUUUUAAGAGUUCUUAUCGAAAAAAAAGAUUGCGACCUCGAUGUUGGAUUAAAGUUAAAAUUUGGUGUAGAAGCUAAAUAUUUAGGUCUGUUCGACCUUUAAAACUUUACAUGAUCUGAGUUUAAACCGGUGUAAGCCAGGUUGGUUUCUAUCUUUAAUUAAUAAAAAUAUUUUAGUACGAAAGGACCAAAUAUUAAUUAUAAUAAUUUUAUUUAUGAAUUAUAGUAAUAUUAAA